rnacentral:rRNA from 1 species
UACGAAGGGGGCUAGCGUUGUUCGGAAUCACUGGGCGUAAAGCGCACGUAGGCGGAUCUUUAAGUCAGGGGUGAAAUCCUGGAGCUCAACUCCAGAACUGCCUUGAUACUGGUGAUCUUGAGUCCGGGAGAGGUGAGUGGAACUGCGAGUGUAGAGGUGAAAUUCGUAGAUAUUCGCAAGAACACCAGUGGCGAAGGCGGACUCACUGGCCCGGUACUGACGCUGAGGUGCGAAAGCG